rnacentral:sRNA from 1 species
AUAUAACCUCCCUAAACUGUGAUGAGUUUCUUCAGCAUGAAAAGCAUAAAGGCAGCUUACCUUGGUCUCAUAACAUUUCUGUUAGGUUGUAUUGAAAUCAAGUAUGGAAUCUCCAAUACCAAUCCUUUCCAGAAUUCAACUCUUUCUCUUCUGGGAUAGUUGCAUGUGAAACACUGCUGUGGAUUCUCAUUGCUCAGCUUUUCUGUUGCUCUCCGGAACACCUCCAAAUGCUUCUGACAUGCCAAAUUCAGAACAGCAACCGCAGGACCCCCAGGUGUAGCAUCUCAGAUAUGGCCCGGUUCAUCAAUAUGUAGUUUUUUAGCUGUGUUUCUGCUAUAUGCUUAUGCUCAUAUUAUAUUAUGUAGUCUUAAUUUUCUCUAUUUGUCCUGAUCAUUACGGGGCAUAUUAAUCCCCAAAUCAUGAGUUAUUAUAUGCAAUAACAACUCAAAAAUAU